CUUUUCUCGUUAGUUUUUGAAGUAUGGCCUGCCCACUGACGUUUAUGGAGGUUGAAGGGCCGCGGUAUUUUGACCGUGCAAAGGUAGCAUAAUCAUUAGUUCUUUAAUUGUGAUCUGGUAUGAAUGGCUUGACGAGACAUGGGCUGUCUUAAAGGUAUUUUUUAUUGAAUUUGGUUUCUGAGUUAAAAUUCUUAGAUGUUUUUAUGGGACGAGAAGACCCUAUAGAGUUUGACAUCCACUCUUCUUUUGUUUGUGUUUGAUUGGUUUUAUUUAAGUUGGUUGGGUGUUUUGUUGGGGUGAUGGGAGGAAUAAAAUUUAACUCCUCUUUGGUUUUGUAUAUUAAUUUAUAUUUGUUUUGAUCCAUUUAUUUUGAUUAUAAGAUUAAAUUACCUUAGGGAUAACAGCGUUAUCUUCCUUGAGAGUUCUUAUUGGCGGGGAGGUUUGCGACCUCGAUGUUGGAUUAAGGUGAAUUUUCGGUGCAGGAGCUGAAAGUGAUUAGGUCUGUUCGACCUUUAAAAUCUU
rnacentral:rRNA from 1 species